GAUGAACGCUGGCGGCGUGCCUAAUACAUGCAAGUCGAACGAGUUCUCGUUGAUGAUCGGUGCUUGCACCGAGAUUCAACAUGGAACGAGUGGCGGACGGGUGAGUAACACGUGGGUAACCUGCCCUUAAGUGGGGGAUAACAUUUGGAAACAGAUGCUAAUACCGCAUAGAUCCAAGAACCGCAUGGUUCUUGGCUGAAAGAUGGCGUAAGCUAUCGCUUUUGGAUGGACCCGCGGCGUAUUAGCUAGUUGGUGAGGUAACGGCUCACCAAGGCGAUGAUACGUAGCCGAACUGAGAGGUUGAUCGGCCACAUUGGGACUGAGACGCGGCCCAAACUCCUACGGGAGGCAGCAGUAGGGAAUCUUCCACAAUGGACGCAAGUCUGAUGGAGCAACGCCGCGUGAGUGAAGAAGGCUUUCGGGUCGUAAAACUCUGUUGUUGGAGAAGAAUGGUCGGCAGAGUAACUGUUGUCGGCGUGACGGUAUCCAACCAGAAAGCCACGGCUAACUACGUGCCAGCAGCCGCGGUAAUACGUAGGUGGCAAGCGUUAUCCGGAUUUAUCGGGCGUAAAGCGAGCGCAGGCGGUUUUUUAAGUCUGAUGUGAAAGCCCUCGGCUUAACCGAGGAAGCGCAUCGGAAACUGGGAAACUUGAGUGCAGAAGAGGACAGUGGAACUCCAUGUGUAGCGGUGAAAUGCGUAGAUAUAUGGAAGAACACCAGUGGCGAAGGCGGCUGUCUGGUCUGUAACUGACGCUGAGGCUCGAAAGCAUGGGUAGCGAACAGGAUUAGAUACCCUGGUAGUCCAUGCCGUAAACGAUGAAUGCUAGGUGUUGGAGGGUUUCCGCCCUUCAGUGCCGCAGCUAACGCAUUAAGCAUUCCGCCUGGGGAGUACGACCGCAAGGUUGAAACUCAAAGGAAUUGACGGGGGCCCGCACAAGCGGUGGAGCAUGUGGUUUAAUUCGAAGCAACGCGAAGAACCUUACCAGGUCUUGACAUCUUUUGAUCACCUGAGAGAUCAGGUUUCCCCUUCGGGGGCAAAAUGACAGGUGGUGCAUGGUUGUCGUCAGCUCGUGUCGCGAGAUGUUGGGUUAAGUCCCGCAACGAGCGCAACCCUUAUGACUAGUUGCCAGCAUUUAGUUGGGCACUCUAGUAAGACUGCCGGUGACAAACCGGAGGAAGGUGGGGAUGACGUCAAAUCAUCAUGCCCCUUAUGACCUGGGCUACACACGUGCUACAAUGGAUGGUACAACGAGUUGCGAGACCGCGAGGUCAAGCUAAUCUCUUAAAGCCAUUCUCAGUUCGGACUGUAGGCUGCAACUCGCCUACACGAAGUCGGAAUCGCUAGUAAUCGCGGAUCAGCACGCCGCGGUGAAUAUGUUCCCGGGCCUUGUACACACCGCCCGUCACACCAUGAGAGUUUGUAACACCCGAAGCCGGUGGCGUAACCCUUUUAGGGAGCGAGCCGUCUAAGGUGGGACAAAUGAUUAGGGUGAAGUC
rnacentral:rRNA from 1 species